GGCACUGUAGCUUAGUUUGUUAAAGCACCUGCCUAGUAAGCAGGAGAUCCUGAGUUCAAGUCCCAGUAGUGCCU